rnacentral:rRNA from 1 species
AACGAACGCUGGCGGCGUGCUUAACACAUGCAAGUCGAACGCGAAAGGGACUUCGGUCCUGAGUUAAGUGGCGCACGGGUGAGUAACGCGUAGAUAACCUGUCUUCGUGUCUGGAAUAAUACGCCGAAAGGUGUACUAAUACCGGAUAUUCUUGCUUUAUAUAAGUUUUGCAAGCAAAGGUGGCCUCUGCAUAUGCUACCGCAUGAAGAGGGGUCUGCGUACCAUUAGCUAGUAGGUAGGGUAAUGGCCUACCUAGGCGACGAUGGUUAGCGGGUCUGAGAGGAUGAUCCGCCACACUGGCACUGGAACACGGGCCAGACUCCUACGGGAGGCAGCAGUGAGGAAUAUUGCGCAAUGGGGGCAACCCUGACGCAGCGACGCCGCGUGAGUGAGGAAGGCCUUCGGGUCGUAAAGCUCUGUCAAGAGGAAAGAAGUGCAUGGUGGUUAAUACCCGCCAUGUUUGACGGUACCUCUAAAGGAAGCACCGGCUAACUCCGUGCCAGCCGCCGCGGUAA